rnacentral:tRNA from 1 species
GUUCUAAUAGUUUAAUUAAAACAUUGGUCUUGUAAACCAAAAUUGACUAUUGUCUUAUAACU